CUCCUACGGGAGGCAGCAGUAGGGAAUCUUCCGCAAUGGACGAAAGUCUGACGGAGCAACGCCGCGUGAGUGAAGAAGGCCUUCGGGUCGUAAAACUCUGUUGCCAGGGAAGAACAAGUGCCGUUCGAACAGGGCGGCGCCUUGACGGUACCCCGGCCAGAAAGCCAC
rnacentral:rRNA from 1 species